rnacentral:rRNA from 1 species
GACGAACGCUGGCGGCAUGCCUAACACAUGCAAGUCGAACGAAACCUCCCGGUUUUUGGGCGCACGUGUGCGUAAGGCGUGGGGACCUGCCCUUAGGUACCGUAUAACUCCCCGAAAGGGAUGCUAAUACCGGAUAAUCUCUUCGGACCAAAGAUCUAUUGCCAUUGGAUGGGGCCGCGUUAGAUUCGCUAGUUGGUAGGGUAAUAGCAUACCAUGGGGUGGAUUCAUAGCUGGGCUGAGAGGCUGAUUAGCCACGCUUGGAAUGAGACACGGCCCGGACUCGUACGCAAGGGGGGAGAGGGGAACAGUGGACAAUGGGCGAAGGCCUGACCCAGCAAUGCCGGGUAAGUGAUGAAGGUCGUAGGGUUGUAAUGCUCUUUUACCCGGGAUGAUAAUGACGGUACCGGGUGAAUAAGCUCCGGCUAACUACGUG